rnacentral:rRNA from 1 species
AUUGAACGCUGGCGGCCGGCCUAACACAUGCAAGUCGAACGAGUGGCGGACGGGUGAGUAAUGUCUGGGAAACUGCCUGAUGGAGGGGGAUCACUACUGGAAACGGUAGCUAAUACCGCAUACCAUCGGAUGAGCCCAGAUGUGAUUAGCUAGUAGGUGGUGUAACGGCUCACCUAGGCGACGAUCCCUAGCUGGUCUGAGAGGAUGACCAGCCACACUGGAACUGGGAAACGGUCCAGACUCCUACGGUAGGCAGCAGUGGGGAAUAUUGCACAAUGGGCGCAAGCCUGAUGCAGCCAUGCCGCGUGUAUGAAGAAGGCCUUCGGGUUGUAAAGUACUUUCAGCGGGGAGGCGUUACCCGAAGAAGAAGCACCGGCUAACUCCGUGCCAGCAGCCGCGGUAAUAC